rnacentral:lncRNA from 1 species
GUCCCGCGGGUGCAGAUGCAGGUCCUCACCUUCCGCCUCCAUUAAUGAUUAAUAAUCUCCCACGGCCCACGGUGAAGGGAGCAUCGCCCCAUCUUCCAGAGGAGAAAACUGACGUGAGGACAGGAGACCACAUCCACGGAGGCCUGGGAGUCCAAGAUCUGGGCUUGCCGAAUCCCAUCCCAAGUAGGAGUACGGCUGGCAGCAGAGCAUUGGGGAGGCGGAGAGGGACCGGAGGAAAGAGCACAGGACAGGUGCGGCCUUUGGGGUCCGCCAGCUGCGGAGGUAAAGCCGGGUGCCCCAGUGGGCGGGGACUGAGCCUAGUGGCUGCUGGACCCUGUGCUGGAAGCUGACUUCUAGGCAGACUCCAGGACCAGGCAGGGCAGGAAGAACUAGUGAUGGAUGCCUGCGUCGUUUAACCUGGAAGCCCCCAAAAAAGUGACGCUCCCUUCACAGAAGAUGACACUGAGGCGACUUCACUAUGGAGAAGCCGAGCCAGGCCCAAGGAUUGACGAUCGAUCAGAGAGGUGUCCUCCAGUCCAACCGAGCGCUCUCUGGGUCGCGCGAUCUCCAUGUCCACCGUUUCCAUGUCCGCCCGCGGGGCUUCCUCCAGCCCAAGCUCUGCUCCCUGCACUCUUCAGUCACGUGGCCCCGACAGGCGCCUCAUCUGGUUUCCUCUAACAGCGGCUGAGCUCGGCUGUGAUGGAGGCCAGCCAGGCCACACCCACCACGCCUGGGGUCUCCCUCAUUUCCCAGUGUCUUCUCUGAGCCAGCGAAACAGUGCUUGCCUUCAGCAGGGACUGCUUUUGUCACCAUCACUUCCAUGUCCCCAGUGCCUGGCGCAGGGGCUGGGAGCCCAGAAAUCCCAUCAAUCUGAGCGAAUAGUCCCAGGAAUAUAAAGUGGAGUGGUGACUGCAAGCAGCCACUGCCUGCUUUGUCCUAAUAAACUUUUCCUUUUGCAAAUCCUGUGUUCCUCCCUUCCUUAAA